UUGGUUAGGUUGAUAUAUAGACGUAUAUAUUUAUCGGCUGGCUAACGUUACAGUAGCGCAAAUAAUCGCAUUAUGCACUUGUCCGAAAAAUAGCAGAGUAACUAGCUUAGUUUAGCUAACUAAUCAUUCAGAACCGCACAUCUGAGAGAACAGGACAACCAUGACCAGACGGACAUUGGAAUUCGUUUCAAAGUGACAGUGAGGACAAGGCACUGUUUCCCACUGUAACAGCUGUUGGUGGAAGGAGGAUAGUGAGACAGGGGGGGGGGGAGUCCAGGCAACAAAAGAAAAGGACUAGCCGGUGAAACACUUCAGUUUUCGCUGUGCUAUGUUUAAAAAAAUAUUUAUAUAUCUUCACCAUUUUUAUUUAUUUAUUAGGGGGUAGGCAUGCUGGACAUGGCCUUCCAGGAUACAAUCAAAGGCACUUGAUCUAAGUAAGGUGACUCUUGGUCCUUCCACAAUGCCAGAGACUUAGUCCUUCCACAAUGCCAGAGACUUAGUCCUUCCACAAUGCCAGAGACUUGGUCCUUACACAAUGCCAGAGACUUAGUCCUUCCACAAUGCCAGAGACUUGGUCCUUACACAAUGCCAGAGACUUAGUCCUUACACAAUGCCAGAGACUUGGUCCUUACACAAUGCCAGAGACUUAGUCCUUACACAAUGCCAGAGACUUAGUCCUUACACAAUGCCAGAGACUUGGUCCUUACACAAUGCCAGAGACUUAGUCCUUCCACAAUGCCAGAGACUUAGUCCUUCCACAAUGCCAGAGACUUAGUCCUUACACAAUGCCAGAGACUUAGUCCUUCCACAAUGCCAGAGACUUAGUCCUUACACAAUGCCAGAGACUUAGUCCUUCCACAAUGCCAGAGACUUAGUCCUUCCACAAUGCCAGAGACUUAGUCCUUCCACAAUGCCAGAGACUUAGUCCUUACACAAUGCCAGAGACUUAGUCCUUCCACAAUGCCAGAGACUUAGUCCUUACACAAUGCCAGAGACUUAGUCCUUACACAAUGCCAGAGACUUAGUCCUUCCACAAUGCCAGAGACUUAGUCCUUCCACAAUGCCAGAGACUUAGUCCUUCCACAAUGCCAGAGACUUAGUCCUUCCACAAUGCCAGAGACUUAGUCCUUCCACAAUGCCAGAGACUUAGUCCUUCCACAAUGCCAGAGACUUAGUCCUUCCACAAUGCCAGAGACUUAGUCCUUACACAAUGCCAGAGACUUAGUCCUUACACAAUGCCAGAGACUUAGUCCUUCCACAAUGCCAGAGACUUAGUCCUUACACAAUGCCAGAGACUUAGUCCUUCCACAAUGACAGAGACUUAGUCCUUCCACAAUUCCAGAGACUUAGUCCUUCCACAAUGCCAGAGACUUAGUCCUUACACAAUGCCAGAG